rnacentral:rRNA from 1 species
UACGUAGGGACCUAGCGUUGUCCGGAAUUACUGGGCGUAAAGAGCUCGUAGGUGGUUUGUCGCGUUGUUCGUGAAAACUCACAGCUCAACUGUGGGCGUGCGGGCGAUACGGGCAGACUAGAGUACUGCAGGGGAGACUGGAAUUCCUGGUGUAGCGGUGGAAUGCGCAGAUAUCAGGAGGAACACCGGUGGCGAAGGCGGGUCUCUGGGCAGUAACUGACGCUGAGGAGCGAAAGCGUGGGGAGCGAACAGG